rnacentral:snRNA from 1 species
GGCUUUGCACAGUGGCAGUAUCAUAGCCAAUGAGGUUUAGCUGAGGCGCGAUUAUUGCUAAUUGAAAACUUUUCCAAUUUAA